rnacentral:snoRNA from 1 species
UUGCAUGUAGAAAUACCUACUCCUCUUUUCUUUAGAGGCAGGAAUACCUGUGGAACAUGCCAUAGCUUCAGUUUGAAAAAA